rnacentral:tRNA from 1 species
GGGCCCUUAGCUCAGUCGGUUAGAGCAGCGGACUCAUAAUCCGUUGGUCCUCGGUUCAAGUCCGAGAGGGCCCACCA